GACAGAGGGGGCAAGCGUGGCUCGGAAUUACUGGGCGUAAAGGGCGCGUAGGCGGAAUGGCAAGUCGGUCGUGAAAUCCUUCGGCUCAACCGAAGAACGUCGAUCGAAACUGCCGUUCUUGAGGAUUGCAGAGGAGACUGGAAUUCCCGGUGUAGCGGUGAAAUGUGUAGAGAUCGGGAGGAACACCGGUGGCGAAGGCGGGUCUCUGGGCAAUUCCUGACGCUGAGGCGCGAAAGCGUGGGGAGCAAACGGG
rnacentral:rRNA from 1 species